GUAGGUGGCAAGCGUUGUCCGGAAUUAUUGGGGCGUAAAGCGCGCGCAGGCGGUUCUUUAAGUCUGAUGUGAAAGCCCACGGGCUCAACCGUGGAGGGUCAUUGGAAACUGGAGAACUUGAGUACAGAAGAGGAAAGCGUAAUUCCACGUGUAGCGGUGAAAUGCGUAGAGAUGUGGAGGAACACCAGUGGCGAAGGCGGCUUUCUGGUCUGUAACUGACGCUGAGGCGCGAAAGCGUGGGGAGCAAACAGGAUUAGAUACCCUGGUAGUCCACGCCGUAAACGAUGAGUGCUAAGUGUUAGGGGGUUUCCGCCCCUUAGUGCUGCAGCUAACGCAUUAAGCACUUCGCCUGGGGAGUACGGCCGCAAAGGCUG
rnacentral:rRNA from 1 species